rnacentral:lncRNA from 1 species
AUGGAAGAUGGAUAGAUGAUGUUGGAUAGAUGAUGAUUGACUCUCUCAAUCCGUGGGUUUGAUUGACUCUCUCAAUCUGGAAUAACACUGGCUGUUGAAUCACACAAACAACCUAUGCUAGACGAAUCAAUAGAACACAAGAAUCACUCAAGUAUCCUAAGGACAUAUUUCUAUUCAAAGACUCUCUUUGAUAAAAAUAAACAAACUGAAUAUUAUUUCUUAAGGAUUGAAAGGUGAUUUACAAUGAAGACUAGACAGAGCUUAUAUAGGCUCGUGCCUUGACUUAGCUAGAAAACUAAAACAAAGAAAGAAGCAAACAAAUAAGGAAAACCGAUAAAACUAGUCGUUGGAAGAUAUAUUGGAUCCAAAAGCUUUCUUCAAGGGAUUUGAUUCUGGUUUUUUAUCUGGACGGUUUGAGGGUGUAGGUAAUCUUCUUGGGAACAUCUUGAAUGCUGAAGACUUGGCCGAAAUCUUUGUAGUCUUGGCUUGAAAAGAGCUGUUGGAAAUUGAUGGGCAAUAAUUCCAAAAAUAGCUCCAAAGAUGGCAAGUCUGAUCUUGCUUGAAUCCGUGUGCUCUGGUGAGGGAUGGUGCAUCUUAAGACUCUUAUACAUGUAAGGAAUGCUACGCUGCAGCUUUGAUGGCUUGGUCGUUGGUCACUUAUUCUCCAAAGUGGGGAUGCAUCCAAUUUAGGAAAGUUCCUAAACAAUAAGAUCCUCCUGAUCAUGUGGGCUCUGGUGCAUGGUAAGAACUCUUCUACUCCUUCUGGAUCGUUGGAUAUACUUAUCAGAUGCUUAGAAACCUCUCCUGGUCGCCAUUGUUUGGUUUGACUAAGAUUGAACCGGUGAGACUCCAAAUUAGGCAAUUGCAGAACUGGAUUGACCGGUUUAGGGAACUGGGCCAUAACUCCAUAUUUCCGUGGAAUUUUCUCCUCAUUCUUGGCUUGUUGGAAAUAUAAUAGAUCCAUCUUGAAUUACAUGCUUUGUUUUGGGUCGGAACGCUUCUUGGUUGGGCUUGAAACGACUUCUAAACUCGGAUGCUCGCAGAUGGACGGGCUGGAGAAUCUCCGGUUUGUAAAAUUCAUAUCUUCUUGGUUAGAGUAGCUUUGAAGAUUAUUCAAACUUUUCUUGACUCCUUGUUGAGUGUAGAAUGCAUGAAAAUUGGUUUGAUGGUAAAAUUCUUCAUGGUUGGUAAGAUACGCCUGUUUUACUGAACACAUAUCCUGGUUAGUCUUUUGGUUAUCUGAUUGGUGCAACUGGUUGGCCUCUGGUUCAGGUACUGAUUUGAUGGCCGCAUCAUACCCUCUCCCUUGAAAAAUUUUUGACCUCGAAACUGGAUAAUCUGCACCAAGAUAGAGCAAGUCAGGUUUCAUCCUCCUUUGAGAUUCUAGGACCUUACCUUGGAAUUUGAUCGAUUUGAUCUUUGAUGGCAUAUCUGGUGGUUCUCCUUUGGGUAGGAACGACAUCACUACUCCUCUGCUUUGGUUUGGCACUCUGAUGGGUGGUGUUUGAUCUCCUGGGUCGUAUGGAAUCAAGGUGUGGCUGUGGACAAUUUCUUGUUUUCUCUUGGCAUAUAAACACCUUGUACUCUCCUUGUGGGGAUCAUACAUAUGAUCUUUAGUCUCUGUUCCUGAAACAAUUUCAACACUUUUGGCAGGAAACAAGUGAAUUAUAUCUGGAUUUGAAAAUUUAUAAAUAGGAAAAGUAAAGUUUAGAUUUACCCAAAUUGUUUCAGCAAGUUGAAGUAUGAUUUGCUCUUUUACAGCUUGUGUACUCUUGUUGUUUCUUGUAACUUCUUCAACGUUUUUUGGACAAGUCAGGUGCUGUCCCUGGUUCUCCUUAAACUUCUCACCAUUGUCUGGUCGUCCAUCAACUUGUCUCAUUCCUGUGUCAAAAUCUUUUGGCAAAGACAAGUGCAUAAUUACAGAAUUUGAAAGCUCUAAGGGAACAAGAAUAUCAUUUCCUUUGGUUGGUUCUUCUUUAAUGGACUCAUCAUGCCCCUUAGUACCUGUAUAAAAACCUUUUGACAUAGACAAGUGCAUUAUACAAGCAUUGGAAACAAACAAAUUAGAUUGAAUUAAACUAUCACUUAUUUUUGAUAUUUCAGUUUGCUCUCCUAGUGAUGUUUCUUUCAAGGUUUUCUUAAAUGGACAAACAGCAGCAAAGUGCCCACGUUUAUGGCAUCUAUAGCAAGUUGGGUUCUUGGGUUUCAUAAGGUCAGAAGACUUACCUUGGUUUGAUGUGUUCUCCUCCUUGGGUUCUAGAGUCUCCUUGAGCUUUUGACACAUCUCUUGUAACUUUUGCAGUUCAGGUAAGGGUGUAGUGAUUGGCUGUGGCUGAACCUUGUUUAAGUGAGCCGGCCUCUUAAACCCUUCUUGGUGUGUAAGUAAACUAGAGGAUAACUUCUUGGGUUCAUGGUCGUGAGCCUUCUUUGGUUUAGGAACAGUAUGCGGUUUUGGUGUAGACAUUACUUUCCUCCUUCUUGCUUGACAAUGGAACUUUGAUGUGGCAUCUACUUGGUCUUGAUACUUCUCUGCAAACUCUUUAUACAUUCUAAAUUUUAGGUCUCUCCAAUCUACCACGGGCUGGUUGUAGGUGCUUGGACUGCUCUCCUUUAGCCACCAUUUGUAAGCAUUCCCCGUGAAGGCUUGGACAGCUUGUGAUAGCUUCUUUUCUUUGUGAAUGUUGUUGGACCGCAGCCACUUCUCCAUGUUAAUUUUCCAAGUCAAAUACACCUCAGGGUUCUUGCUGGAACCUGAAAACACUAGAGUGUUGGAUGUAUAAGCAGAAUCUUUGCUUACUCCCUUCUUUUGGCCGGUUGGUGUUUGUUGAGCUCUCUUUGUGCUGAUGGGUUUAGGUUUGGCUGAUACACUAUAUGGGGCACAUCCAUAGCCUACUGCCUUCUCUGCUCUAUUUGUAAGGUUGUAAUCCUCAUACAACUCGCCCUCCUUUUCCCCACCAUAAUCUGUCCAUGGACUGCUUGGUCUUGACCAAGAGUAUUUGAUUGGUGUGUCUUCUUCAUUCCAUCUACUAAUGGACCUGGAGAAACUUUGCUCAAGAGACUCUGGUUCAUCUCCAACCUCCUCAUGAUGGCGUCCAUAACUGAUUUCAGAAUCAGUUUCAUAACAAGACUGGUGUUCUUGGUCUUCUCCAUCAUCACUUAAGUCAUCCGGUUCUUCUCCCCAAUCUAUUUCUGAGGUAUUGACCUCACUUAGAUCAUCUUCUUCAUACUCCAUAGCCUUAGAAUUGAUGUACCUUGCAAGAUAAAUAUAUCAAACUAGUGGCUUAGAUAGCUGACAGAGCAAAUGAACAAAAUAAGUAAUGAAACUUAUGCAAAACUGAUAGAUAUGCAAAUAAUGGACCAAGUAAACUAAACUAAGUUGAAUAUUUUUUUUGUUUGAAUGCAGGCUCGUGAUAAAUCAAAUAUGGAGUAAUAAUAAAACAAAAGUCAUGAAAAAUAUGGAAGCAAGAAAUAGCACUGAUUUUUUUUUUUUUUUUUUGGUAUGAAAUGCAAACAACUCUAUGAAUGAAUGCAAACAAACCUAAAUGGAUUUUUUUAAUGCACAAUGAUAUGCACGAAAUACACUAUAAUGAGAUGAAAUUAUUCAAGCAAAUAUGAACAAUAAUGAUAAGAAGAAAAUGCAAUGACAAUAUAUUUUUUUUUUACUUUUCUUAGAAUGGAAGGUGCAGAAACAAAAUAUGCAAAUAUGAAAUAUGGUAUGUAAAAUUAGAAAAUAACUGAAAUAUGAUUCUUAUAAUUUUUUUUUGAAUGCAAGAAUGAUAUGCACGAACUAAGGCAGACUGAUAUGAAAGAUGCAAUUUUUUUUUUUUGAAUUUUCUUGAUUUGGGAUGCAAAAACCGAAAAGGGAAACAAUUCUAUAAAACUAAUGCAAAUAAGACUAAAUGAUUUUUUUUUACCAAAGAAAGCACGAAAUAUAUAAAGGAAAACAAGAGAAAUAAAUUUUUAUUUUUGGUUUUUUUUUUAAUUUAUAGAAACAAAGAAAAUGAUUUUUUUAAAUGCAAAUGAACCGAAAAAGGAAACUACGAAAUGAACUAAUGUAAAAAAGACUAAAUGGUUUUUUUAUAUAUAUAUAUAUUUAAAUUCACAAUAUAACUACUAUAUGGUAUGCACGAAAUGGGUAUGAAACAAAUAUGAGAUUUGUUUUUUUUUUAAUUUCAAGGAUGCAACAUAAAUGAGAGAAAAAAAAUCCAAAAUGAGAGAUCUUAUGGUAUGCAAAAUUAAAUAUGGAAAGGGGAGCUGGGGGGAAAUGAAUGCAAACAACUAGACUAAUAUGUCAAAGGAAUUUCGUGGAUCAAACUAACAAAACUCUUUCUCUUUUUAAUUUUCUUUUCUCAAGAACACAAAAUGCAGAAAUUCAAACUUGAAGCAAAUAACAUUUUUUUAUGAUUUUUUUGGUUUUUAUAAAUGAAAACUAGCAAGGAAUGAAAAGAACAAAGAUAGAUGUGGAUUGAUAUCACCUGAUAUAGGAGCUUUAAGCUCUGAUACCAAAUGUUACAGGCUGGGAAGCUGGUCGAUGAGAUGGAUGGGCGAUGGGUCGAUCUUAUCGGUAAGGAUGAAGACCGGACGGAAAGAUGGUGAAGAUGGCCGACUUGCUAUUCCUUUUAACCCAAUCUAACCUGGAAACAAUGAAGAACAAUUAGUUUAUGAAUAUUUAAAAUAAGAACAAGAACUAAACAGAUAAAGGGAUGAAAUAGUUUAUGGAUAGAUGAUUGAAGAUGGAAGAUGGAUAGAUGAUGUUGGAUUGAUGAUGAUUGACUCUCUCAAUCCGUGAGUUUGAUUGACUCUCUCAAUCUGGAAUAACACUGGCUGUUGAAUCACACAAACAACCUAUGCUAGACGAAUCAAUAGAACACAAGAAUCACUCAAGUAUCCUAAGGACAUAUUUCUAUUCAAAGACUCUCUUUGAUAAAAAUAAACAAACUGAAUAUUAUUUCUUAAGGAUUGAAA